CCAGGCUUCACCUGCUACUCAACACAGGGUAGGGCUGUGUCUGUGGCAAGAGGACAUGACCUUGAGAAUCCUUUACUACGGGACCAAGAGCUCUACCAGUUGUCUCACCAGAUGCCUGGCCCUGAGGAGUGACUUGAAGACUUUAUUGAUGAAUAAGGCAUGAUCCAGUUAAUUUCAUAUACUCAGGUCAAAUCUAGGUAAUUUUGACUUUUCUUACAUUUCAUCCUGAAUUGAGUACCU
rnacentral:lncRNA from 1 species